rnacentral:rRNA from 1 species
GGGUUGUGAGGUUAAGCGACUAAGCGUACACGGUGGAUGCCCUGGCAGUCAGAGGCGAUGAAGGACGUGCUAAUCUGCGAUAAGCGUCGGUAAGGUGAUAUGAACCGUUAUAACCGGCGAUUUCCGAAUGGGGAAACCCAGUGUGUUUCGACACACUAUCAUUAACUGAAUCCAUAGGUUAAUGAGGCGAACCGGGGGAACUGAAACAUCUAAGUACCCCGAGGAAAAGAAAUCAACCGAGAUUCCCCCAGUAGCGGCGAGCGAACGGGGAGCAGCCCAGAGCCUGAAUCAGUGUGUGUGUUAGUGGAAGCGUCUGGAAAGGCGCGCGAUACAGGGUGACAGCCCCGUACACAAAAAUGCACAUAUUGUGAGCUCGAUGAGUAGGGCGGGACACGUGGUAUCCUGUCUGAAUAUGGGGGGACCAUCCUCCAAGGCUAAAUACUCCUGACUGACCGAUAGUGAACCAGUACCGUGAGGGAAAGGCGAAAAGAACCCCGGCGAGGGGAGUGAAAAAGAACCUGAAACCGUGUACGUACAAGCAGUGGGAGCACGCUUAGGCGUGUGACUGCGUACCUUUUGUAUAAUGGGUCAGCGACUUAUAUUCUGUAGCAAGGUUAACCGAAUAGGGGAGCCGAAGGGAAACCGAGUCUUAACUGGGCGUUAAGUUGCAGGGUAUAGACCCGAAACCCGGUGAUCUAGCCAUGGGCAGGUUGAAGGUUGGGUAACACUAACUGGAGGACCGAACCGACUAAUGUUGAAAAAUUAGCGGAUGACUUGUGGCUGGGGGUGAAAGGCCAAUCAAACCGGGAGAUAGCUGGUUCUCCCCGAAAGCUAUUUAGGUAGCGCCUCGUGAAUUCAUCUCCGGGGGUAGAGCACUGUUUCGGCAAGGGGGUCAUCCCGACUUACCAACCCGAUGCAAACUGCGAAUACCGGAGAAUGUUAUCACGGGAGACACACGGCGGGUGCUAACGUCCGUCGUGAAGAGGGAAACAACCCAGACCGCCAGCUAAGGUCCCAAAGUCAUGGUUAAGUGGGAAACGAUGUGGGAAGGCCCAGACAGCCAGGAUGUUGGCUUAGAAGCAGCCAUCAUUUAAAGAAAGCGUAAUAGCUCACUGGUCGAGUCGGCCUGCGCGGAAGAUGUAACGGGGCUAAACCAUGCACCGAAGCUGCGGCAGCGACGCUUAUGCGUUGUUGGGUAGGGGAGCGUUCUGUAAGCCUGCGAAGGUGUGCUGUGAGGCAUGCUGGAGGUAUCAGAAGUGCGAAUGCUGACAUAAGUAACGAUAAAGCGGGUGAAAAGCCCGCUCGCCGGAAGACCAAGGGUUCCUGUCCAACGUUAAUCGGGGCAGGGUGAGUCGACCCCUAAGGCGAGGCCGAAAGGCGUAGUCGAUGGGAAACAGGUUAAUAUUCCUGUACUUGGUGUUACUGCGAAGGGGGGACGGAGAAGGCUAUGUUGGCCGGGCGACGGUUGUCCCGGUUUAAGCGUGUAGGCUGGUUUUCCAGGCAAAUCCGGAAAAUCAAGGCUGAGGCGUGAUGACGAGGCACUACGGUGCUGAAGCAACAAAUGCCCUGCUUCCAGGAAAAGCCUCUAAGCAUCAGGUAACAUCAAAUCGUACCCCAAACCGACACAGGUGGUCAGGUAGAGAAUACCAAGGCGCUUGAGAGAACUCGGGUGAAGGAACUAGGCAAAAUGGUGCCGUAACUUCGGGAGAAGGCACGCUGAUAUGUAGGUGAAGUCCCUUGCGGAUGGAGCUGAAAUCAGUCGAAGAUACCAGCUGGCUGCAACUGUUUAUUAAAAACACAGCACUGUGCAAACACGAAAGUGGACGUAUACGGUGUGACGCCUGCCCGGUGCCGGAAGGUUAAUUGAUGGGGUCAGCGCAAGCGAAGCUCUUGAUCGAAGCCCCGGUAAACGGCGGCCGUAACUAUAACGGUCCUAAGGUAGCGAAAUUCCUUGUCGGGUAAGUUCCGACCUGCACGAAUGGCGUAAUGAUGGCCAGGCUGUCUCCACCCGAGACUCAGUGAAAUUGAACUCGCUGUGAAGAUGCAGUGUACCCGCGGCAAGACGGAAAGACCCCGUGAACCUUUACUAUAGCUUGACACUGAACAUUGAGCCUUGAUGUGUAGGAUAGGUGGGAGGCUUUGAAGUGUGGACGCCAGUCUGCAUGGAGCCGGCCUUGAAAUACCACCCUUUAAUGUUUGAUGUUCUAACGUGGACCCGUGAUCCGGGUUGCGGACAGUGUCUGGUGGGUAGUUUGACUGGGGCGGUCUCCUCCUAAAGAGUAACGGAGGAGCACGAAGGUUGGCUAAUCCUGGUCGGACAUCAGGAGGUUAGUGCAAUGGCAUAAGCCAGCUUGACUGCGAGCGUGACGGCGCGAGCAGGUGCGAAAGCAGGUCAUAGUGAUCCGGUGGUUCUGAAUGGAAGGGCCAUCGCUCAACGGAUAAAAGGUACUCCGGGGAUAACAGGCUGAUACCGCCCAAGAGUUCAUAUCGACGGCGGUGUUUGGCACCUCGAUGUCGGCUCAUCACAUCCUGGGGCUGAAGUAGGUCCCAAGGGUAUGGCUGUUCGCCAUUUAAAGUGGUACGCGAGCUGGGUUUAGAACGUCGUGAGACAGUUCGGUCCCUAUCUGCCGUGGGCGCUGGAGAACUGAGGGGGGCUGCUCCUAGUACGAGAGGACCGGAGUGGACGCAUCACUGGUGUUCGGGUUGUCAUGCCAAUGGCACUGCCCGGUAGCUAAAUGCGGAAGAGAUAAGUGCUGAAAGCAUCUAAGCACGAAACUUGCCCCGAGAUGAGUUCUCCCUGACCCUUUAAGGGUCCUGAAGGAACGUUGAAGACGACGACGUUGAUAGGCCGGGUGUGUAAGCGCAGCGAUGCGUUGAGCUAACCGGUACUAAUGAACCGUGAGGCUUAACCUUACAACGCCGAAG